rnacentral:rRNA from 1 species
AAUGAACGCUGGCGGCAUGCCUUACACAUGCAAGUCGAACGGCAGCAUGACCUAGCUUGCUAGGUUGAUGGCGAGUGGCGAACGGGUGAGUAAUGCAUCGGAACGUGCCUUUUAGUGGGGGAUAACGUAGCGAAAGUUACGCUAAUACCGCAUAUUCUCUGAGGAGGAAAGCAGGGGACCUUCGGGCCUUGCGCUAGAAGAGCGGCCGAUGUCGGAUUAGCUAGUUGGUGAGGUAAAGGCUCACCAAGGCAACGAUCCGUAGCGGGUCUGAGAGGAUGAUCCGCCACACUGGGACUGAGACACGGCCCAGACUCCUACGGGAGGCAGCAGUGGGGAAUUUUGGACAAUGGGCGCAAGCCUGAUCCAGCCAUGCCGCGUGAGUGAAGAAGGCCUUCGGGUUGUAAAGCUCUUUCGGCUGGGAAGAAAUCGCACCCUCUAUUACAGGGUGUGGAUGACGGUACCAGCAGAAGAAGCACCGGCUAACUACGUG